rnacentral:rRNA from 1 species
AACGAACGCUGGCGGCAUGCCUAACACAUGCAAGUCGAACGAGACCUUCGGGUCUAGUGGCGCACGGGUGCGUAACGCGUGGGAACCUGCCCUUAGGUUCGGAAUAACUCCCCGAAAGGGGUGCUAAUACCGGAUAAUGUCUUCGGACCAAAGAUUUAUCGCCUUUGGAUGGGCCCGCGUUGGAUUAGCUAGUUGGUAGGGUAAAAGCCUACCAAGGCGACGAUCCAUAGCUGGUCUGAGAGGAUGAUCAGCCACUGGGACUGAGGCACGGCCCAGACUCCUACGGGAGGCAGCAGUGGGGAAUAUUGGACAAUGGGCGAAAGCCUGAUCCAGCAAUGCCGCGUGAGUGAUGAAGGCCUUAGGGUUGUAAAGCUCUUUUACCCGGGAUGAUAAUGACAGUACCGGGAGAAUAAGCUCCGGCUAACUCCGU